rnacentral:rRNA from 1 species
AGGUUAAGUUAACAAGGGCGCAUGGUGAAUGCCUUGGCACUAGGAGCCGAUGAAGGACGGGACUAACACCGAUAUGCUUCGGGGAGCUGUACGUAAGCUAUGAUCCGGAGAUUUCCGAAUGGGGCAACCCAGCAGUUUUAAUCAACUGUUACCACUAGAUGAAUUCAUAGUCUAGUUGGAGGUAAACGCUGUGAACUGAAACAUCUCAUUAGCAGCAGGAAUAUAAAGAAAUUUCGAUUCCCUAAGUAGCGGCGAGCGAACGGGGAACAGCCCAAACCAAAGUGCUUGCACUUUGGGGUUGUAGGACUGAACAUUUGAGUUACCAAAGAACUUGAUAGUCGAAGGAUUUGGGAAAAUCCGCCAUAGAUGGUGAUAGCCCAGUAGAUUAAAUCAAAUUCUCUCAGUUCAGGAUCCUGAGUACGGCGGAACACGUGAAAUUCCGUCGGAAUCCGGGAGGACCAUCUCCCAAGGCUAAAUACUACCUAGUGACCGAUAGUGAACCAGUACCGUGAGGGAAAGGUGAAAAGCACCCCGGGAGGGGAGUGAAAUAGUUCCUGAAACCAUGUGCCUACAAUAAGUCAGAGCGCGUUAAUGCGUGAUGGCGUGCCUUUUGUAGAAUGAACCGGCGAGUUAUGAUCCCGUGCAAGGUUAAGACUAAAAAGUCGGAGCCGUAGCGAAAGCGAGUCUGAAAUGGGCGUUUUGAGUACGAGGUUAUAGACCCGAAACCAGGUGACCUAUCCAUGUCCAGGUUGAAGGUGCGGUAAAACGCACUGGAGGACCGAACCCGUGUAAGUUGAAAAUUGCUGGGAUGAGGUGUGGAUAGCGGUGAAAUUCCAAACGAACUUGGAGAUAGCUGGUUCUCUCCGAAAUAGCUUUAGGGCUAGCCUCGGAAUUAGGAUCAUGGAGGUAGAGCACUAUUUGGACUAGGGGCCCGUCUUGGGUUACUGAAUUCAGAUAAACUCCGAAUGCCAUUGAUUCAUAUCCGGGAGUCAGACGAUGAGUGAUAAGAUCCACCGUCGAAAGGGGAACAGCCCAGACCAUCAGUUAAGGUCCCUAAAUGUAUGCUAAGUGGAAAAGGAUGUGGAGUUGCAUAGACAACUAGGAUGUUGGCUCAGAAGCAGCCACCAUUUAAAGAGUGCGUAAUAGCUCACUAGUCGAGUGAUCCUGCGCCGAAAAUGUACCGGGGCUAAGCAUACUACCGAAACCAUGGAUGCGACCAUUAGGUCGCGUGAUAGGAGAGCGUUCUAAGGGCAGUGAAGCAAGAUCGUGAGGACUUGUGGAGCGCUUAGAAGUGAGAAUGCCGGUAUGAGUAGCGAAAGAUAGGUGAGAAUCCUAUCCACCGAAUGACUAAGGUUUCCUGGGGAAGGCUCGUCCUCCCAGGGUUAGUCGGGACCUAAGUCGAGGCCGAGAGGCGUAGACGAUGGAUAACAGGUUGAGAUUCCUGUACUAGUUAAGUGCGUUUGAGCAAUGGAGGGACGCAGGAGGCUAAGAUGUGCAUUCUGUUGGAUUAGAAUGUCCAAGCAGUAAGUCUUGUGAAGAGUCAAAUGCUUUUCACUUUAAGGACAAGCUGUGAUGGGGAGCGAAAUUUAGUAGCGAAGCGUCUGAUGUCACACUGCCGAGAAAAGCUUCUAGUGAGUACUUAACUACCCGUACCGCAAACCGACACAGGUAGUCGAGGAGAGAAUCCUAAGGUGAGCGAGUGAACUCUCGUUAAGGAACUCGGCAAAAUGACCCCGUAACUUCGGGAGAAGGGGUGCUGAUCGCAAGAUCAGCCGCAGUGAAUAGGCCCAGGCGACUGUUUAUCAAAAACACAGGUCUCUGCAAAAUCGUAAGAUGACGUAUAGGGGCUGACGCCUGCCCGGUGCUGGAAGGUUAAAAGGAUGGGUUAGCUUCGGCGAAGCUCAGAAUUGAAGCCCCAGUAAACGGCGGCCGUAACUAUAACGGUCCUAAGGUAGCGAAAUUCCUUGUCGGGUAAGUUCCGACCCGCACGAAAGGCGUAACGAUCUGGGCACUGUCUCAACGAGAGACUCGGUGAAAUUAUAUUGUCCGUGAAGAUGCGGACUACCCGCGACAGGACGGAAAGACCCCAUGGAGCUUUACUGUAGCUUGAUAUUGAGUGUUUGUACAGCUUGUACAGGAUAGGUAGGAGCCAUAGAAACCGGAACGCUAGUUUCGGUGGAGGCGUUGGUGGGAUACUACCCUCGCUGUAUGACCACUCUAACCCGCACCACUAAUCGUGGUGGGAGACAGUGUCAGGUGGGCAGUUUGACUGGGGCGGUCGCCUCCUAAAAAGUAACGGAGGCGCCCAAAGGUUCCCUCAGAAUGGUUGGAAAUCAUUCGCAGAGUGUAAAGGCACAAGGGAGCUUGACUGCGAGACAGACAGGUCGAGCAGGGACGAAAGUCGGGCUUAGUGAUCCGGUGGUACCGUAUGGAAGGGCCAUCGCUCAACGGAUAAAAGCUACCCUGGGGAUAACAGGCUUAUCUCCCCCAAGAGUCCACAUCGACGGGGAGGUUUGGCACCUCGAUGUCGGCUCAUCGCAUCCUGGGGCUGUAGUCGGUCCCAAGGGUUGGGCUGUUCGCCCAUUAAAGCGGUACGCGAGCUGGGUUCAGAACGUCGUGAGACAGUUCGGUCCCUAUCCGUCGCGGGCGUAGGAAAUUUGAGAGGACCUGUCCUUAGUACGAGAGGACCGGGAUGGACAUACCUCUGGUGUACCAGUUGUGCCGCCAGGCGCAUCGCUGGGUAGCUACGUAUGGAUGUGAUAAACGCUGAAAGCAUCUAAGUGUGAAACACACCUCGAGAUGAGAUUUCCCAUUCCUUUAUGGAAGUAAGACCCCUGAAAGAUGAUCAGGUAGAUAGGUUAGAAGUGGCAGUGCGGUGACGCAUGAAGCGGACUAAUACUAAUCGGUCGAGGACUUAACCAAG